CCUCGGGUGGCAGCAGUAGGGAAUCUUAGACAAUGGGGGAAACCCUGAUCUAGCCAUGCCGCGUGAGUGAUGAAGGCCUUAGGGUUGUAAAGCUCUUUCGCUGGGGAAGAUAAUGACGGUACCCAGUAAAGAAACCCCGGCUAACUCCGUGCCAGCAGCCGCGGUAAUACGGAGGGGGUUAGCGUUGUUCGGAAUUACUGGGCGUAAAGCGCGCGUAGGCGGGCUAUUAAGUCAGGGGUGAAAUCCCGGGGCUCAACCCCGGAACUGCCUUUGAUACUGGUAGUCUUGAGUUCGAGAGAGGUGAGUGGAAUUCCGAGUGUAGAGGUGAAAUUCGUAGAUAUUCGGAGGAACAUCAGUGGCGAAGGCGACUCACUGGCUCGAUACUGACGCUGAGGUGCGAAAGUGUGGGGAGCAAACAGGAUUAGAUACCCUUGUAGUC
rnacentral:rRNA from 1 species